rnacentral:ncRNA from 2 species
GAUGAGAGACAGGGGCGUCCGUCGAAAGACGGGCUGAGAAGCACCCUUCGAACCUGAACCGGAUCAUGCCGGCGGAGGGAGUCGCUCGGGGUUGGGC